CUCUUCCUCUCGGUCCCAUAUUGAACUCGAGUUGGAAGAGGCGAGUCCGGUCUCAAA
rnacentral:miRNA from 1 species